rnacentral:rRNA from 1 species
UUGACCUCACAUAAGGUAGGAUUACCCGCUGAACUUAA